GGGCGUAAAGCGUGCGCAGCGGUUUGCUAAGACCGAUGUGAAAUCCCCGGGCUCAACCUGGGAACUGCAUUGGUGACUGGCAGGCUAGAGUAUGGCAGAGGGGGGUAGAAUUCCACGUGUAGCAGUGAAAUGCGUAGAGAUGUGGAGGAAUACCGAUGGCGAAGGCAGCCCCCUGGGCCAAUACUGACGCUCAUGCACGAAAGCGUGGGGAGCAAACAGGAUUAGAUACCCUGGUAGUCCCGCCCUAAACGAUGUCAACUAGUUGUUGGGGAUUCAUUUCCUUAGUAACGUAGCUAACGCGUGAAGUUGACCGCCUGGGGAGUACGGUCGCAAGAUUAAAACUCAAAGGAAUUGACGGGGACCCGCACAAGCGGUGGAUGAUGUGGAUUAAUUCGAUGCAACGCGAAAAACCUUACCUACCCUUGACAUGGUCGGAAUCCUGCUGAGAGGUGGGAGUGCUCGAAAGAGAACCGGCGCACAGGUGCUGCAUGGCUGUCGUCAGCUCGUGUCG
rnacentral:rRNA from 1 species